UACGGCGAGUGAAGCGGGAAGAGCUCAAAUUUGAAAUCUAGUAGCCUUCGGCUGCUCGAGUUGUAAUCUAGAGAAGUGUUUUCCGUGCCGGCCCAUGUACAAGUCCCUUGGAACAGGGCGUCAUAGAGGGUGAGAAUCCCGUCCUUGACAUGGACCCCCGGUGCUCUGUGAUACACUUUCAACGAGUCGAGUUGUUUGGGAAUGCAGCUCAAAAUGGGUGGUGAAUUCCAUCUAAAGCUAAAUAUUGGCGAGAGACCGAUAGCGAACAAGUACCGUGAGGGAAAGAUGAAAAGCACUUUGGAAAGAGAGUUAAACAGUACGUGAAAUUGUUGAAAGGGAAACGAUUGAAGUCAGUCAUGCUCUUUGGUAUUUAUAUCAUUGAGUGGGGUCAACAUCAGUUUUGAGCGAUGGAUAAAGGCACUAGGAAGGUAGCACUCUCGGGUGAACUUAUAGCCUAGCGUCAUAUACAUUGUUUGGGACUGAGGAACGCAGCAUGCCUUUAUGGCCGGGAUUCGUCCACGUACAUGCUUAGGAUGUUGACAUA
rnacentral:rRNA from 1 species